CCUCCUUUAGCAGCGUACGGUCGAUUACUCCUGAGGCCUGCAGGAUGGAGUUGGACAUGGAUGAACAUAGCCGCGGUCAGUUCUUCGCUUCAUCUGGUGAGCUCUAACAAAUUUUCUUCUUCCUUUGGUUGCGGUUGGAAGAAACUAAUGCAGUAAGAUUGUAGGAAGCGCACCUUAGCUAUGCACGGCUGGCUACCCGAGAUUGCGGCAGACCUUCUGCCUCUUCUCCGGCGGGCGUUGGUGGAUGGCCCGGCCGGCCGGCGACGGCAAGGGGGAAUAAAUAGCGUAUGGGUGCGAAGUUGUUGGAAAUCCUGGCGCGCCGCGAGAGACGCAAGUCAUGUGGGGAGCAGAGGAUGCCGAUUCCGAACGGAUCUUCCCUCUGCUGCAGCGUGGCCGUGGCGCUCGGUCCGAAUAUCCUCUUGUCCACGGCGCGGCAUCGUCAAAACUUACACGGAAGACAAUUCCAUGCAGGAAAAAUACUACGUGGAUUCUGAAUGGCGCCAACCGAGCGAUUAAGACGCAAACAAAGUACUAGAAAACUUGCUGGUGGAACUACGGAACGUCUUGCGACCGCACCAGUUUCUG
rnacentral:lncRNA from 1 species